CGUUAAAAAAGGGAGGGGGUUGGCUUAAAGGUGUUUUGGGGGGGGGUUUUUCCGCCCCCUUUUAUUUUCGGGCAAGUUAAAGGCCUUUAAAACCCUUUCCCGCCCUGGGGGGAGGUACGGGUCGCCAAGGAUUUAAAAACUUAAAAGGGAAUUGGACGGGGGGCCCCGCCCCAAGGCGGUGGGAGGCAUGUUGGUUUAAAUUUGAAAGGCAACCGCGAAGGAACCCUUUUCCCCGGGUUUUUGACCAUCCCUUUUGAACAACCCCUAGGGGAUUGGGGGUUUUCCCUUUCGGGGGACCAGAGUGAACCAGGUUGGUGCAUGGGUUGUUGUUCAGCUCGUGUUUGUGAAGAUGUUGGGGUUUAAAGUCCCCGCAAACGAGGCGCAAACCCUUGAUUUUUAGUUUGCCAGCAUUUCAGUUGGGCACUUUAAGGUGACUGCCGGUGACAAACCGGAGGAAGGUGGGGAUGACGUCAAAUCAUCAUGCCCCUUAUGACCUGGGGUACACACGUGGUACAAUGGACAGAACAAAGGGGUGCAAGACCGCAAGGUUUAGCCAAUCCCAUAAAUCUGUUUUCAGUUCGGAUCGCAGUUUGCAACUUGACUGCGUGAAGCUGGAAUCGCUAGUAAUCGCGGAUCAGCAUGCCGCGGGAAUACGUUCCCGGGCCUUGUACACACCGCCCGUCCCUCCUCAAAGUUGCACAUCCGAAUCGGGGGGUACCUCAAGGUCAUAACGGAAGCGCUCCAACAGAGG
rnacentral:rRNA from 1 species